GUCCAUCCAUCCAUCCCCCAGGAGCAAACUGCUCCAGCACGGGUCCCCCAUGGGCAGCAGCUCCCCAAAGAUCCCAAAUGUAAGGUUCUCUCACAUUUUCUCACUCUCUCCCAGCUGCUGUUGCCCUAGGCUACAAAUGGCCCUAGGCUAGGAGAGACUUGCAUUUGGGCUGUUAGCUUAACCAGAGCAAUGAGAAGGACCAGAGAAAUAUCAUGCACAGCUGACCAAGACACAGAAAGGCUAUCCACUGCUAGACUGGGGAAUGCUGAACAACUGAGAGAGGACAUCUUCUGCAGCAAGAAAAGGGCAGGUGAACAAGCCCCUGUCAGUCAUCUCUCCACCCUGCAUUUUCAGUAAGGUCAUCAGCUGUAGAUUUUCCUCGUGAUCACCACCUGGAAGCAAUUGCCCAAAUGGCAGAGAGCAAAACAUCACAGGAGGUUUUGAGGCUGAUGGCUAGCCAUAGCUGAUGGGACCACAAGAAGAGAAACUGACAGGUGCUGCUGAGACCAGUCUCCAGAUCUUUGACCCACCCCUGGACACACAGGCCAAGAGAAAUUAUCUCUAAGGACCCUGGGGCUUCUUGUUGUUGUGGGGAGGCCGCACAUGCUCAAAUGCAUGUCUGCACCUGUCUGCUGGAGCUUGGCUCAGAAGCCACCUCCACAGUUGGCUGUACUCCCACGGGACCCAAAGCUACAAGGAUGAGUCCGUGCCAAGGAAACCAGUGCCUGGCAUUACAAUCUCUGAGCACAUCUUCAAGGCCUUUCAAUUUCCACCCUUGCUCGUUCUCAAACUUCUUUUCUCCACAUCCUCAUCUUCUAAUACAUUUAAAGCUUUUGUUAUUCCAAAGCCUUUGAAUCAUCUCAGGGUCUGUGAAGGAGAAGCAGGAAGAAAUUCAGAUCUUCAGACAUGUAACGUCCCAAGACAACUGCAAAUCACUGAGGAGUUGUGGUACACUCAGCCCUGACACUACAGCUUGGAUGUAGCAUCCUCAAAGUGCGUGAGGAAACAGGCCAUUAAUAAUUUUAUUUCCAGGUGGUACACUGAAAUUAAUACCCCAAGUCAUCAGAAUUUGUAUCUGAUUUUCUCCAAAUACUUAUUUUUUUUCAACUCAUGGGUCAAGUUAAUAAUAUGCUUGGCAAAUCAAAGAGGCCAACAGGAUUUGUAUUUAUACUUAUGUUGGCCUGCAGCUGAAACAAAGCAAGAAGAGGAUUAGGCAUACAGCAGCCAGCACUGUGCCCAGUCCCAGCUCCAGAACCAUGUCCAAGUGAAUGCUGAGGACACACAAUGGGCUGGAAUUAACAAAUUGGUGUGGGAGGCUGGAAAACACGGAAUUGAAGGAAGAGAAAGCAGAUGGAGGAAAAGAGAUGUGAAACAGAGAUUGUACUUCAAAAUAUCUCCAUCAUAAAGCCUCACAAAUUUCAAAUAAAUGAAUUUCCAAAGACAUAAAAAGUACAAAAUCAAGCAGAAGUUUUGAAAUGCUUAAUGUCUUUAAAAUUGUUGCAGCAAUUACCAAGGACAUUUGUUGAUUGCAUCUGUGAAUAAAAUUAUAAAUAAGAUCAGAAAUAAAAAAUAUAAUUUGACCAUUAAUUUAGGUUUGAUGACCCAGUGCAGGAAAAAGCACUUGAGCACAUGUUUAAUUUCAACCUGUUAAAAGCACAUGUUUAGCUAUAUUUAUGAAUCCUAACAUUUCAUAAGACAUCAGAAAACUAGAUGAAAAAAAUUACUGAAUCUUCAUGGUAAGAUAACAUGACAAGAUUACCCCACAUCCCUAACAUAUGCACAAGCCUUUCACUGCAAAUAAGACGUUCAAUAAUUAAGUAAAAAGAAAUCACUUUAAAAACACAGUUUAACAAGUGCUGCUAAAUACAGUCUUUUUCAUAACCCGUUAACUCUUUGCUGUUGCCUAGCCUUGGCUAACUCCUCUGAGCAUCCCCGGCAGUCAGUGGAGACAGCAGCCAAGAACAAACAAGACAAACACUGAUGUUUGCAGCAGCUUUUUAAAUACUUGCACACACAAGUACAUAAUUUUUUUCUUGACCUGGAACAACAAAAUGACUAGAGAGUGUAGUGAUCAGUGGUCACUGCAGUCC